rnacentral:rRNA from 1 species
UCCCCGAGUAGCGGCGAGCGAAAAGGGAGGAGCCCAGCGCCGAAUCCCCCGUCCGAGAGGGCGCGGGGAAAUGUGGCGUUCGGGAGUGAGCGUUAAGGCGUUCGGACGUGCAGCAAGUCCCCCUGACCGGGGCUGCUUCCCAAAGUGGGUGCGAGGCCCAUAGCUGCUGGUCCGGCGUCUCAUGCGAUCUCCCAGGAGUCGGGUUGCUUGGGAGUGCAACCCUAAGCGGGUGGUAAACUCCACCUAAGGCUAAAUACCGCCACGAAACCGAUAGCAAACAAGUACCGUGAGGGAAAGUUGCAAAGAACUUUGAAGAGAGAGUUCAAGAGUACGUGAAACUGCUCAGAGGGAAACGGGUGGGCCCUCGAAGUCCUGUGGCGGGAGGAUUCAGUCGGCCGUUCGGGACGGUGCAGGGGUUCUCAGACCAGAAUGGAUUCCGCUGCGCGGACCGGUCCCCAGCACCGCUUCUCGGGCGGACGCCGCAUUUCCUUCCCGUCCGAAGGACGCCGCAACCGGCUCGGACGCGGCCAUGAGGGCGGGAGACGGCAGGUGACUAGUGGCACUCCUCGUGGGUGCCGCCUGUUGUUAGCCAUUCCGCCGCACGGCACGCGGCUGGGCCGUGGUGACGCGAGGCCCUGCAUGGGCCUCUACGCCUCCUCCCCUCGGGAGCGGGACAGACGUUCGCAGAGGUUCGGGACGCGAGACGGGCGCACCGGCACGACCGGUGGCCGCGACUUGCACCGUCCUUGUUGGUGAGCGCGGACCCGCGGGAGACGCUGGCGGUAGCGGCGGGGAUGAGAGCGCCCAGUGGGCCACUUUUGGUAAGCAGAACUGGCGCUGUGGGAUGAACCAAACGCCGGCUUAAGGCGCCCGAUGCGAGACGCUCAUGAGACCCCAUGAAAGGUGUUGGUUGCUCCAGACAGCAAGUCCGUGGCCAUGGAAGUCGGAAUCGGCUAAGGAGUGUGUAACAACUCACUUGCCGAAGCAACUAGCCCUGAAAAUGGAUGGCGCUCCAGCGUCGAGCCUAUAGCCGGCCGCCGCGGCAGAAACCCCUGUGACGGGGGCCUACGCCGCGGUGAGUAGGAGGGUCGCGGAGGCGAGCGUUGAAGGUGCCGGGCGCAAGCCCGCCUGGAGCCGCCUCCGGUGCAGAUCUUGGUGGUAGUAGCAAAUACUCAAGUGAGAACCUUGAGGACCGAAGCUGGAGAAGGGUUCCAUGUGAACAGCAGUUGAACAUGGGUCAGUCGGCCCUAAGGAAUCGGGGAAACCCGUUCCGAAGCGGGACGUUGAAUCCAAUCGCUCUCGCGACAACGAAGCGGCUCGUCCCGCUGCCGACCGAAAGGGAAUGGGGUCAAUAUUCCCCAACCCGGACACGGAGACUGGGCCCUCGGGCCCCAGUGCGGCAACGCAACCGAUCUCGGAGACGUCGACGGAAGACCCGGGGAAGAGUUGUCUUUUCUUUGUAAGAGUUCGUGUCCCUGGAAUCGGCUCGUCCGGAGAUAGGGACGCUGUUCUCGUAAAAGCACCGCGGCUCUUGCGGUGUCCGGUGCGCUUCCGUCGGCCCUUGCAAAUCCGAGGGAGAGAGUGUGAUUUUCGUGCCGGUCCGUACCCAUAUCCGCAGC